UACGGAGGGCGCAAGCGUUGUUCGGCAUCACUGGGCGUAAAGCGCGUGUAGGCGGCUCUGCAAGUCGGGUGUGAAAUCCCGAGGCUCAACCUCGGAACUGCACUCGAUACUGCUUGGCUCGAGUCCCGGAGAGGGUGGCGGAAUUCCCGGUGUAGGGGUGAAAUCCGUAGAUAUCGGGAGGAACACCAGUGGCGAAGGCGGCCACCUGGACGGUGACUGACGCUGAGACGCGAAAGCGUGGGGAGCAAACAGG
rnacentral:rRNA from 1 species